AAAAGGAGGUACCUAUUUGUAUCUGCAUGGUCAAAUUUGUAUCUACGGCAAGGAGGCACGUUCUACAUGGUCAGUCAUCCAAAUAGCGUCAAAUUUGUAUCCGCCCACAAGUGUUGCCAAUAUAUUUGGUCAUUGGUUGGACGGUAUUUCAAAUAAGUUCAAAACCUAAUAAGGGUGGGAGCGUAUGCCUUACUUUGGUCGCUUUGGCUAUGUAGAAAUGAUUUCAUUUUUAAGGAAAAAAUGCUUCUCCUCUACAGGUUAUUUUUCAUUGUACGCACUUGCUUCGUAUGUGGUCUACGCUACAACGACCGGAGCACCACCCGUUGUUCAAGGCGGUGUGUACGCGGUUGGAGCAGGCGGCUAUGGAGGUUUUUUCCCAACAUGGGUGGCAUCAUAACCUCCGAAUCGAUCUACCUCCAUUUUUGACAUAGGCACAGUGUCGGUCUGUAGGACUCUACUGUUGUCGACUUGUCAUUUUGGUUACUUUUCCUUUUGACAGACUUUUGUUGUUUGGCUGUGUGCAUCCUAGUUAUGCAGAGGCCGGGUGAUACUCAUGAUGUUUUGUAUCCGCUUGAUGCUACAUUUUGAGUUAAUAAAAGCGCCCUUUAUAAAAAAACCUAUUUGUAUCUACAGCAACACAUUUUGUUUAGGCAGCUUCAAUAAUAUCUAAAAGAAAGACCAUUAUGCUGAUUACAACAGCAGUAAAGAGUAGUGUCGUGGAAUUGUCACGGCAGAUGUCCUCGCGCAAGGACUUAGUCGUGGAGCCAUCGCAGCUAGGAAGCUUAAAGGGGUUAAGCGGGACAAGGAACACGAGGGUUAUACUGGUUCGGCCCCUUACAGUGAAGGUAAAAGCCUACAUCCAGUUGAGGUGGUAUUGAUUAGGGUUUCGAUGACCAGGAGCUAAACCGUCCUGCCUGGUUAUCGAGUUUGUCUUACUUGUCCCUAAACCGCCGCCGGGUCGUUCCUUUAUAUAGAGAGGUUGAUGCCCAGCAGCUCUCAGAGUCCCGGCCGGCUCAUAACAGUGUCCGGCCCGGACUCUUAACUAUUCUUGCCUUACGCUACAAGUUUCACCCUAAUGGCGGUUAACACUACGGGCCUUAAGCCAUCUCCGGGUCUUAAGCCCAUUAUUGACCCGCCGUCUUCAAGUUUGGUGCUGGGCUUCGCGUGAUGACCAUUAUGUCGUAACCCGGCCCCUCCUGGGCGGGUGACUCUAAUGGUUAUAUCCUCAACAUUAGGCCCCAGAUUGAUUUGAACCGGUUCAUGUCAAUCUUCAAUCCCCUUGAGAGAAAAUCUUCCGGCUUAUAUUUGUGCGAAGGUUAUAACCCGCCGUGACGUCAUCUUCUGGAUUCCUGAUAACCCGCCAUGACGUCAUCUUCCAUUAAGUUCAUUUUUUAUUCUGUCAUAUCCCAACGGAUCUUAUCUUUAAUGGCCAUCCCGAGAAUCGAGGCGCUUCUAUGGCGAGAUAAUCACGCCGUGGCCUCCUCGUUUCUCGCGCCCACUUAUUAGCCGCACCUUAUAAAUAAGCCUGGCCCAUAAGCCUUCAUUCACUUGUCGCCUCCAUCGUCUUCCUCCUCUGACACCCGAGAGCUCGAGCUCUGCCGCCGCUCUCCUGGUCUUCGUCGACCUCGGCCGCUGCAUCACCCUGACCUGUCCAGAGAAACGGCGGCGACCUCCGCGACUCAUCCGCACCCGUAAGUCCUUGCCACUCCAUAGAGUAGAUCCGCAUUAGGGUUCUUGCUGUUCUUCCCUGUUCUUCACAGUGCGUCGCCAUUUCUUCACAGUUUCUUCUGCACGGCCCCCUUAGAUCCAGAAAACAUAUAGAACUCGUGCGGCUGUGGUUUCGCACCCAUUCUCAAUAGUAGCACGCCCCCUUUACUUGCAAAGAAAUCCCCUUAGAGCUCAUGAACUUCUCUGUAUCAGCUUUCUAGGUCUAGAAAUUUUUCCUUUUUAGCCGAUCGUUUGAUCCAAAAUAAUUACUGCGAUCUGUGAAACUUGUUUGCGCCACACUUAGUCAAAAAUUGCAUCUGUUUAGCUAUGGCGGCUCAUAUCUUCGGCUUAAAAGAGGCCACGCGCUGUAAAAUUUCUGGCUCAUUUAUGAUAAAGUUUUAGACAACUUGAAUUACUCGCGAUGCCCUCAGCGGCUUAGAUAACCCGACGCAAUUAGCCAUAUGUCAUUAGGCCCCUUCAUAAGCCGCCAUCUUGAAUAUUGAACUGUAAACUUCCUCCGGCUUAUAGUUGAACCGGACAUUUCCUUUUGUCAUAGGCUUUCGUCUUUCACAAUGCCACCCAAGGCUCCCAAGGCACCCAUCACGUGCAACUGGAUGAGAUCCAAUGUUACUGAUGACACUUUAGCUGAUUUCGUGAAGAUGGGUUACCUGCCCAAGAAGGAGGUCAUGUCUUAUCGUGCCCCUGACCCGUCGGAGGAAAGACCUCAACCUAGAGAUGGCGAGGUGGUGAUAUUUGCUGAUCACAUGAGCCGGGGCUUCGCACCUCCUGGCUCAAAAUUCUUUAGAGAUGUUCUAAACUUCUUCGAUCUGCGGCCGCAAGACAUAGGACCCAAUUCCGUGUCGAAUAUUUGCAACUUUCAAGUAUUCUGCGAAGUAUAUCUUGGAGAAGAGCCCAGCCUACUGCUUUUUAGGGAGUUGUUUUAUCUGAACCGCCAGAAUGAGUGCGCCAACGGGCCUAGCUUGGAGCUUGGCGGAAUCUCCAUUCAACGACGGAGAGAUUGCCUUUUUCCUUAUGCUGAGCCGCCAAGCCACCCAAAGGACUGGAACCAGACAUGGUUCUACUGCCAAGACACUUCUCCGGCUGAUGAGAGCCCUCUGCCCGGCUUUCGUGCCCUGCGUCUGGAGCCAACUCACCCCCUGCCAGACAAACUAUCUCAAGCUGAACGUCAACCACUGAUCCCUACCAUCAACAAGAUUAAGGCUCUUCUGGGAAAUGGCCUUAACGGCGUUGAUCUAGUCCGGGUCUGGAUUUCUUGGCGGGUGAUUCCCCUGAGCCGCCGCCCCGGCUUAAUGUGUGAUUACACGGGCCGGAAGGAUGACCCUCUGCGGCACAGCUCCAACAAUCUUCCUGAGGACGUCGUGGAUGACAUGACCAAGUCUCUCUUGAAUGAGAGCUUAGCCGACUGCGGGAGGACCGGCUUAAGCCCCUUCUGCCAAGCUAACCCGGCUCCGGCGGUAAGCUACCAAUCUGAGCACUUUACCUUCCAUUUUAACAGUUUUCGUUUUAACUUCAAGGAAACCUUUAUUGCAUUUUUCCAGGCUAAUGACAAGUUCUGGAAGGUCAAGUAUGACCAUGAGGCUGCUAAAAAAGCCAGGAAGGCUAAGAAAGCCGCCAGGAGAGCCGCUCCCCGUAAGAAGGGAAGUAGGCCUAGCGCCUCAGAGCUGCUUCAGUUGGAUGAUAGCUCCGAGUCAGAGGUAACCCUUGACUCGUUAGGCUCCUAUUCUGCCUUUUGUCUGCUUUUUAACCACCUUAUUGACUUGAUUAUCCGCAGGAUGAUACCGGAGCGAGUAACCCGGUGACUGAAGAGGUAACUAUACUUUCCUCCGACUCGGACCCCUUGCCAAGGCUGAAAGUCCGAAGAGUAACCCGGAAAGUAGGAUUUUCGCAUCCUUUAGCUUAUCAAGAUCCUCAAUUUCUUUUGAAGCAACAGAUUCAUGAGAGCCGGAGGCAAACCCGGGCCAGCAAGGAUGCAGACCUCUCCUCCGGCUUACCUGAGGCAUCAAGAAAGCGCUGGACUGAGGUUAUCUCCAACUUAUACCCUUUUCAUCCUUUAGCGGGCGUCACUCGUCAACCACUCAAUUCGUCUGACUCAAAUUAUCAGGAAACUUCACCUUCCUCUGGUGACUCCAUGCAAUCUAACCUGCCGGCUUUCAAGACCGCACCCGGGUAAUGAUAAUCAUCUCAUUUGUGCUUAUCUUAUUUAUGUUUUUGUACUAAUCUUUUGACUUUCAGUGCCCAAGCCAAGCUCAACAAAAGGGCCAAGAAAAAUAAGCCGGUCGAAGAGCCGGUCUUGACUGAACCGGAAGCUUCUGCUCAUGAGCCGCCAUCUGCACCAGCUCCGGACACCGCCGCCUCAACUGAAGAACAAACCAUGGCGGGUUCCGACAACCCGGAGAUUCCCAGCUCAGCUCAACCGGCCGAUGACCCGGAUGUGGUGAUUACCCGGACUGAAUAUGUUGAGCCGGGAAGACCCACUGUGCUGGCCAGAUGCUCUGCCAAGGAAGAGCUGCUAGAGCGCCGCCGGGCUAGACUGGAGAUCACUGAUUAUGCUAACUUGAGCAUUGGAGACAUUGUUUCUGGUUACAUUGGUCAAGUGCACAACAGCCGGGACCUGGAGAUUGAUAUGGUGAAGCAGAUACAGCAAAAGUCUGAGGUACAACCCUCUUGCUUACUCCAUAGUCAGUCUUACUAUGCUAGCCCCCAAGUCUAUUACUUAUGAUAGAAUAUGUUGUAGACUUAACUUCCGGCUUACCUUCAUGAACCGACAAUUGUAAAUAGAAUCUUUCAGCUUACAUUAGCCCCCAAGUGCCAAGUGUCUUUGCUUGCAAAGUGCUUGGGACUUUAAUGCUGCAUAAUAAUUACUCAUACUAUAACCCGGAAUUUGUACAGGCUGCCUGCAAGAAAUUUGAAGCUGAAAUCUCUGAGCUGAAGAACUGCCUGAAGACUCAGGAAACUGAGACCCGGAAGGCCAACGCCAAAUUUGAGUUCAGUGUUGCUGCACAAGAAAAGCUGAAGAAGAAAUUUGAAACCGAAAGAAAGACUUGGGCCGAGGAGAAAACUGCUUUGGUCAGCCGGGCCGAACAAGCUGAGGUUGCUCUGACGGAGAGAACCGCCGAACUCUCCGGCUUAAAGCGCCAUGUGUCACAGAUGGUCGCCGCAAUCUUCGGUAAGUCAUUCUGCAGGCCUUUAACAAGCUUACAUUCUUCAUGUCUUAGAAAUCCCACAAUUGCCAUCAAUUCACCUAAUUUGGUUAUGCAGGUCCCAGAAGCUCCAACCUUAAUCAGAAUGUUCUGACCAAGUUGAAGGCCGUGUACACCUUGGUGGAGCAACUCUACACCGGGUCGCGUUAGCCGUUGUGGCUCUGUCCAACGAGGUUCCAACUCACCUGGCGGAUGUACUCAGGCGGCUUGCCGUUCUUCCUCAGCGCUUCCAAGAGCUAAGACGGGCCUCUGCAAGAGCCAGAGCUAUAGCUGCUUUGAGCCGGGCCAAGGCUUUUCUUCCGGAGCUAGACCCGGCCGACAUCGCUCUUGGAUACCCCAGCCUGAAGGAAGACGGCACCCCCUUUGACCAAAAAGACUUUACUGCCUGUGUGAAGAGCGUGCGCCCGGUGGCCACCCUGAUUGGGAAUGACACCGACCUUACCAAGUAUCAGCCGGGCUACGACGCGGAAAAUCAAAGGAUCCCCACUCCACGUUAUGAAGCCAUCAGCUUGAUCCCUCCGACUCGUAAGCAUACCUUCGCCCCAGAAGUUGACCCGGCCGGGUUAAUUGAUGACGAGGCUCAAUUUGAAGCUUUGAGCGGCAUUGACUGGAAAUCAUCAACCUUCCAGGUCAUGGAAUCAGCCGGAGGAGCGGAGAGGGAUGAGCCGGAAGCUUCAACUCAACAAGCACCUUGACUUUUAGGCGGCUCAUGGAUACACCUUAAAACAAUGCCUCACCUUUUGGACUCGGGGAGUCUUGUAAUAGAGUAGGUCAAACACUUAAUUUUGUCAUGCCAUCGUGCACGUGUUGAAUGCUUAACUCCAUUCAAGCUGCUUCUUCAUAUUCCUCCGGGUUAUAAUUGGUCAUUUAUUUUCCUUAAGCUCGAAUAGCUGUCUUUAACCAUCCUGCAUAGAAAACAAGCCACAAGUCUCUGGGUGGCUUAUCGCACCGAGAAUCAUAAACCUUAUAUAACCCGGAAUAUGAACCAAAGUCACCAAAGACUGGCCCUCAAUUAUAUCCUUGAGGUAACCAUAAUAGCAUACUUACAAGCCUUCAAGUAUACUUUCGGUUUAUGUAACCCGAAUAAUGAGGUUAAGAUCUCAACUCCGGUUCACCAGCAUCAAUAAUACUUACUAUGUGCUAUCGACGUUGUGAAGCAAGAUUAAGUCGGCAAAGUAAGAGCCGCCCUUGCACACUGUUGAUAUGACCAAAAGAACUUGUUGUAAAUCAGAAGAUCAAAACAUAGGGGCUUCCGGUUCGAAUACGACCAGAGAACCGUCCCAAAGGGGUUAAGCUAAGAUUCGAAUGCGAUCAUAUAGCCCCCAGUGGCUUUGGCGAUGCCGAUCAAGAGGGUACCGACAGCUAUGUUCUCUUUGGCUCGAAUACGACCCAUGUUUGAACAGGAAGCCCCCAAAUGACCUUCAGAGUUGUUUAACGACGCUGAUUCAAAUACGAUCCACGUCGGUUCCCAAAGGGGGUUGAGCUAUGAUUCAAAUAUGAUCAAAGAAAACUCCCCAAUGAGCUCGGGAAUUUGCCAAUCAAGUGGGUAUCGACAGCUAUGUUCUCUUUGGUUCGAAUGCGACCUAUGUUUGAACAGGAAGCCCCCAGGUGAUCAUAUUGUUUACGGCUAGAUUCGAAUACGAUCAUAAGCCGGAUCCACCUCCAAGUGACCAUGUGAUGUUGUAAUGGAAAUAACACGUUUACCUUUGGAGGAGAAAAGGACAGAGGUCCUGCUAUUUAUCAUAAUAUAUACAUGGCUAUAGAAAUAUGUACACUAUGAGAGCCGGUGGCUUAAGUGUAAUAAGGCCGAAGCUGAGCUAUGUUCCACGGCCGAUGGGUCUCUUCCUCCGACUUGCGUGAAUCUUUGUGCUCCCGAACGUCGAUAAGGUAGUAUGACCCGUUGUGCAAGUUCUUGCUGACCACAAAGGGCCCUUCCCAAGGCGGGGAUAACUUGUGUGCAUCUGUUUGAUCUUGGAUGAGCCGGAGCACUAGAUCACCUUCCUGGAAGACCCGGGACUUAACCCGGCGGCUGUGAUAACGGCGCAGGUCUUGUUGGUAAAUCGCUGAGCGAGCUGCUGCCACAUCACGCUGUUCGUCCAACAAGUCAAGAGCAUCUUGGCGCGCUCGCUCAUUAUCCGCUUCAACAUAAGCCGCCACUCGAGGUGAGUCAUGACGGAUGUCACUAGGGAGGACUGCUUCCGCUCCAUAAACCAUGAAGAAAGGCGUGUAACCCGUAGAUCUGUUAGGAGUAGUAUUAAUGCUCCAUAACACGGAGGGUAACUCCUCCACCCAACAACCCGGCGUCCGUUGCAAAGGGACCAAAAGCCGGGGCUUGAUGCCCUUCAAGAUCUCCUGAUUAGCUCUCUCAGCUUGACCAUUGGAUUGAGGGUGAGCCAUUGAUGAAACAUCAAGUCGAAUAUGCUCUCGUUGACAAAACUCCUCCAUGGCGCCUUUAGACAGAUUAGUACCAUUGUCAGUUAUAAUGCUGUGUGGGAAACCAAAGCGAAAUAUCACCUUUUUCAUGAACUGAACCGCUGUGGCCGCGUCACACUUGCUAACUGGCUCUGCCUCAACCCACUUUGUGAACUUGUCAACUGCCACCAAAAGGUGGGUCUUCUUAUCCUUGGACCUUUUAAAAGGCCCAACCAUAUCAAGCCCCCAGACCGCAAAUGGCCAAGUAAUUGGAAUCAUCCUCAGCUCCUGAGCCGGCACAUGAGCCCAUCGCGAGAACCUCUGACAACCGUCACAUCUACUGACCAAGUCCUCCGCAUCAGCAUGAGCCGUCAGCCAAUAAAAACCAUGACGAAAAGCCUUGGCCACAAGAGAUUUUGAGCCGGCAUGAUGGCCACAAUCCCCCUCGUGAAUCUCACGCAAAAUAUCUUGGCCUUCCUCAGGGGAAACACAACGCUGGAAAGUUCCAGUGACACUGCGGCGAUGUAGCUCACCAUUGAUAAUUAUCAUUGACUUAGACCGCCGGGUUAUUUGUCUGGCCAAAGUUUCAUCCUCAGGCAACUCUCCCUGGGUCAUGUAAGCCAAGUAUGGUACUGUCCAGUCUGGGGUGAUGUGGAGAGCCGCCACCAACUGUGCUUUCGGGUCAGGGACAGCCAAGUCUUCCUCUGUAGGCAACUUAACAGAAGGGUUAUGCAAGAUGUCCAAGAAAGUAUUAGGCGGCACCGACUUUCGCUGAGAGCCCAACCGGCUUAAUGCAUCAGCCGCCUCAUUCUUCCUACGAUCGAUGUGCUCUACUUGGUAACCCUGAAAGUGUCCAGCAAUGGCAUCAACUUCACGGCGAUAAGCCGCCAUGAGAGGGUCUUUGGAAUCCCACUUGCCUGAUACUUGUUGAGCCACUAAAUCUGAGUCGCCAAAGCACCUUACCCGGCUCAAGCUCAUCUCCUUAGCCAUCCGAAGACCAUGGAGCAAGGCCUCGUAUUCAGCCGCAUUGUUAGUGCAGGGAAACAUCAACCAUAGCACAUAACGGAACUUGUCACCUUUAGGGGAAGUCAAUACAACUCCAGCCCCCGAGCCCUCCAAUUGCCUAGACCUAUCGAAGUGAAUAGUCCAAUAUGUAUUAUCCGGCUUCUCUUCAGGCACCUGCAGCUCUGUCCAAUCGUUGAUGAAAUCCACCAAUGCUUGAGAUUUGACAGCAGUGCGUGGUACGUAUUUCAGACCAUGAGGCCCAAGCUCUAUAGCCCACUUAGCCACUCUUCCUGUAGCUUCUCUGUUUUGGAUGAUAUCUCCAAGGGGAGCAGAACUAACCACAAUGAUGGGGUGACCCUGGAAAUAAUGCUUAAGCUUCCGGCUUGCCAUGAACACACCAUAAACAAGCUUCUGCCAAUGUGGAUACCGCUGUUUAGACUCAAUGAGCACUUCACUGACGUAGUAAACCGGCCGCUGAACCGGAUACUCCCUACCCUCUUCCUUGCGCUCCACCACCACAGCCACACUGACGGCUCGUGUGUUAGCAGCUACAUACAGUAAUAAGGGUUCCUUGUCAACCGGAGCAGCAAGAACUGGGGGCUCAACCAGCUGUCUCUUCAAAUCCUCAAAAGCAGCAUUAGCAGCAUCAUUCCAGAUAAAGUCAUCUGUUUUCUUCAUCAACUGGUACAGUGGCAUGGCCUUUUCACCCAAACGGCUGAUAAACCGGCUCAAAGCAGCGAUGCGGCCUGCCAGACUCUGGACGUCGUUGAUGCACGCCGGCUUAGCCAGAGAGGUGAUUGCCUUUAUCUUUUUCGGGUUAGCUUCAAUGCCUCUGUUAGAAACCAGGAAACCCAAGAGCUUGCCUGCGGGAACACCAAAAACACACUUGGCCGGGUUAAGCAUCAUCUUGUAAACCCGGAGAUUAUCAAAGGUUUCUCUAAGGUCAUCGACCAGGGUCUCCUUCUCCCUGGACUUAACCACGAUAUCAUCCACAUAGGCAUGAACAUUGCGCCCAAUCUGGUUAUGAAGACAAUUCUGCACACAACGCUGAUAAGUCGCCUGUGCACUCUUGAGUCCAAAAGGCAUAGACACAUAACAGAAGGCUCCAAAGGGAGUGAUGAACGCCAUCUUCUCCUGGUCCUUAACUGCCAUUUUAAUCUGAUGGUAUCCAGAAUAAGCAUCCAAAAAACUUAAGCGCUCACAACCCGCCGUAGCAUCAAUGAUUUGAUCAAUACGGGGGAGAGCAAAAGGAUCAGCCGGACAUGCCUUGUUUAAGUCCGUGUAGUCCACACACAUCCGCCAGGUGCCAUUCUUCUUGAGCACGAGCACCGGGUUAGCUAACCAUUCUGGAUGAAAGACUUCGACAAUAAACCCGGCCGCUAAGAGCCUGGCCACCUCCUCACCAAUGGCUUUCCGCCUCUCCUCAUUAAACCGUCGAAGGAAUUGCCUGACCGGCUUAAAUUUUGGAUCAAUAUUGAGAGUGUGCUCAGCAAGUUCUCUAGGUACACCUGGCAUGUCAGAAGGUUUCCAUGCAAAAAUGUCCCUAUUCUCACGGACGAACUCGAUGAGCGCGCUUUCCUAUUUUGGAUCCAGGUUGGCACUGAUGCUAAACUGCUGAGAUGAGUCACCUGGAACGAAAUCAACAAGUUUAGUCUCAUCAGUUGACUUAAAUUUCAUUGCCGGCUCAUGCUCCGUGGUCGGCUUUUUCAGAGAUGUCAUAUCUGUUGGGUCAACAUUGUCCUUGUAAAACUUCAACUCCUCUGUUGCACAAACAGAUUCUGCAUAAGCCGCGCCACCUUCCUCACACUCCAAGGCUAUCUUUCGGCUGCCAUGAACCGUAAUGGUCCCAUUGUGACCCGGCAUCUUGAGCUGUAAAUAUACAUAACACGGCCGUGCCAUGAACUUGGCGUAAGCCGGCCGCCCAAAUAUGGCAUGAUACGGACUUCUUAUCUUGACCACCUCAAAGGUCAAUUUUUCCGCCCUAUAGUUGUACUCAUCUCCAAAGGCCACUUCUAGCUCGAUCUUACCAACUGGAUAAGCCGACUUACCAGGCACCACACCAUAGAAAACAGUAUUGGACUGGCUGAGGUUCUUAUCAAUCAACCCCAUACGACGGAAGGUCUCAUAAUAGAGGAUGUUGAUGCUGCUGCCUCCAUCCAUGAGCACUUUAGUGAACUUAUAUCCUCCCACCUGAGGAGCCACCACCAGGGCCAGGUGACCCGGAUUAUCAACCCGGGGAGGGUGAUCCUCCCUACUCCACACAAUAGGCUGCUCAGACCAUCUUAAAUAGCGUGGAACCAUCGGCUCAACAACAUUCACAGCCCUCUUAUGAAGCUUCUGAUCUCGCUUACACAGACUGGUGGUAAACACAUGAUACUGUCCACCAUUGAGCUGCUUUGGAUUGGUCUAGUAUCCCCCUGCUGCUGUUGAUGACCCUGGCUGGACUGCUGAUUAAAGCCCCCUUGAACAUUCUGAGGGUUGGAAUUUGAGCCGCCGCCCGGGCCAUGAAAGCUGCCAGCGCCUGAGCCGCCGCCUGAGCCAUUGUUGCCAUUAAAGGCAUUGGAAUUCUUAAAGGCCUUCAUGAUUGCGCAAUCUUUCCAUAGAUGAGUAGCUGGCUUCUCCCUAGGGCCAUGCCUUGGACAAGGCUCAUUCAACAACUGCUCAAGCAUUGGGCCUGAACCGCCGGCUCGGGGAGGUGGCCUCCCCUUACGUCGCUGGUUGUUACCCUGUGAGCUGGCAUUGGCCAAAAACUCUAUGCUGCCACCAGCCUUACGCUUGCUACCUCCUUGGUUCGCCGGGUUAUGCUGAGGACCCUUGCCAUUGCCGUUCUUCUUUCCCUUCCCUGUCAUUUCAUCAUCUGACGCGGGGUCCUUGGUACUAUCAGAGUCGGCGUACUUGACGAGAGCCGCCAUCAGCGUACCCAUAUCAUUGCAAUCACGCUUGAGCCGCCCGAGUUUCAUCUUCAGGGGCAGGAAACGACAAUUCUGCUCCAACAUUAAGACUGCAGAGCCGGCAUCCAUCUUAUCAGAUGAAUGUAUUAUCUCUUUGACCCGGCGAACCCAAUGUGUUGUAGACUCACCCUCCUGCUGUUUACAGUUAGUCAAAUCCACAAUUGACAUAGACUGCCUACAGGUAUCUUUGAAGUUUUGGAUGAACUGGGCUUUCAGCUCAGCCCAAGACCCGAUAGAAUUCGGUGGCAGCCCUUUCAACCAAGUGCGGGCAGUCCCAUCUAACAUCAUGGUGAAGUACUUGGCCAUUGCCGCUUUGCUGACCUCCAGCAAUUCCAUGGCCAUCUCGUAACUCUCGAUCCAGGCUCUGGGUUGUAAAUCAGCCAUGUAAUUAGGCACCUUCCUAGGCCCUUUGAAAUCCUUGGGCAGACGUUCAUUGCGGAGAGCCGGCACCAGACAAGGGACACCUCCAGUCCUCGUAGGGAUACCCAUGUCGAUGGAAGCCGUCGGAUAAGCCGGGGGUGGCUGGUAAGCCGUCAACUGAGGCACCUUCUCCGCCUCUUGCCGUGCUCUGUCUUGGUCUACUGCGUGAAAGGCUCCGUUAUGAGCCGGGCCGUGGCCAGGAGGCAAGUCAUGGCGUCGGACAUUACUUGAGCCGGUCGCUGAGACCAUGUGUCUGCUAUAACUCGGGCUCCGGCCUGGACGAGGGGUUGAAUGAAUCCUGUCCCGGCUAUAAGAAUAUGCCUCUUGCUGCGCCAGAGCCGUCUGAAGGAGUUCUCUGACCCGGCGGGUUUCAACCGCCGUUGGAGAGUCACCAUCAAUUGGGAGAGCCGCCAGCCGCGCCGCCGCGGCGACCAUGUUUUCCAACGGGUUGGCAUAAUGACCCGGUGGUAUUGGCACGUACUGAGGCGGGGCAGGGUUCACCCGAGGAGGUCCCAUCACUUGGGGCUGAAUUGGCGUCCCAGCCCCGGGCACUAUGAUCUCUGGCGGGUUACUAGACCCUGCACCCGGCGUGUUGAAGAGGUUUCGAGGAUCGUAAACCGGAGGGAGUCGAGAUUGGUCCUUUUGAUGCCUCCUUCUCAUGACCUCAUUGGACGCGUUUUGAUCCAUCGUGAGCCGGAAGGACCGUGCCUGAAUCAGCUGAGUCUGGGCGUCGAGAGCCGCCCUCUCUGCAGCCAUCCUGAUCCCCUCCGCCGCCAGAUCCUCCUUGGCCUUUGCUAAAUCCAACUUUAACUGUGCCACCUCCGCGUCAUGCUGAGCUUGAUCCGCCGGAGCAACCGUAGCGGUCAACAGGACCGUCAUCUUGUCUGUGAGAUCCAUCAGCGCCUGAGCCGGCGAGGGCACCGGGCUUCCUGACCCGGAGGCGGGGUUUUGAACAGGUUGUGCGCCGGCCAUGAAGAUUCCAACCCGGCUCGGCGGCUCAAAGGGGUCCGGAAUGCUGUCACCAUCGGAACAACCCUUGAGCCUGCCAUCUUGAAGUUGAUACAACGAGUUUGACUCAUCCGUAGACGAAUCGCCGUGAGAGCCGGCGGCCGUCUCAUCACCAGAUCCAGAUCCUUCAGAGAGUCCUCCAUGGACACAUCCCACGAAAGCGUGCUUCAAGGCAGGUAGAGCCCGGGCGGGUCGUGCGCGCUGAGCCGUCUCGAUGAGAUCGGCGCAGAGAUCCGACUUAGGGCCCGGCUCACCAAUCUUGCCAAUGAAGACAUGAAUUCCUCCGAAGGGGACCCGGUACCCGUACUCAAUUGAGCCGGCGUCGGGGCCCCAGUUUGCAUCGUUGAUGUAGAGCUUGCCGCGACGACUCUUGGUCAUCUGGCCCACAGCAUAUCCCUUGAGCCCUUCGAAGCUGCCCUUGAAGAACUCAAAUCCACCGUGCGCUGGCCCCACGGUGGGCGCCAACUGUCGUGGAAUUGUCACGGCAGAUGUCCUCGCGCAAGGACUUAGUCGUGGAGCCAUCGCAGCUAGGAAGCUUAAAGGGGUUAAGCGGGACAAGGAACACGAGGGUUAUACUGGUUCGGCCCCUUACGGUGAAGGUAAAAGCCUACGUCCAGUUGAGGUGGUAUUGAUUAGGGUUUCGAUGACCAGGAGCUAAACCGUCCUGCCUGUUUAUCGAGUUUGUCUUACUUGUCCCUAAACCGCCGCCGGGUCGUUCCUUUAUAUAGAGAGGUUGACGCCCAGCGGCUCUCAGAGUCCCGGCCGGCUCAUAAUAGUGUCCGUCCCGGACUCUUAACUAUUCUUGCCUUACGCUACAAGUUUCACCCUAACGGCGGUUAACACUACGGGCCUUAAGCCAUCUCCGGGUCUUAAGCCCAUUAUUGACCCGCCUUCUUCAAGUUUGGUGCUGGGCUUCACGUGAUGACCAUUAUGACGUAACCCGGCCCCUCCUGGGCGGGUGACUCUAAUGGUUAUAUCCUCAACAAGUAGUGUUUUGAAUCAGAUAACGAAUCACUUGUAUUCUAUACCUAAGCCCUUAUGAUGUGCAGCAAGAUGACCCACCACGACCUAGAGGUUGAUAAAUUUAGUCAAGGGACAUAUAGCCUUUCGAUUACUUCCUAUGUUAUCAAAGGGGACAUGGAUGCGGAGGUGAUUGACAUGCUGAAGAUGCAUAAUGGAUUGACUGAUGUAAAAUAACGCCCCUCUCGCCACAAACCCCCAUUACUAAUAUUUUGAGCAUGAGGGAUUUUCUUAGGCCUGGUAGCAGCAUGAUCCUCGGUUAAUAUGCGAGAAACAUACUUUGUGACAUUUUAGAUGCAACUAUAAUAAUGAUAUGAAACGGAUACCUGAAAUGAAAAACCACACAUGGCAUGCUCUAUUUCUCGCCUCUGGCUUACCUCCUCCGAUGCAACAAAUAGAUAGGCAAUCUGCGUAGAAAAAAAAUUGUAAAUUUGUAAGAAAAUAAUGAUGCAUCUCUGCUGGUAUGGAUUGAAAAUCAAGGAGAGGAAGUGAGCAUAAAAACACAAGGAAUUAUCAAUAUCAAAGGAGUACACUAACUGGUAGGAUAGUGAUGUACAUGAAAAACUAAUACAAUGGAGCUACCAAGAUUAACCAAUAGAAAUUUAGUAAUCUUACUGGCUGGAAAAGCCAUUCACUCAUUAGGCAGAGUAUAUAAGAAGCAAUUAUGCAAGGCAGAGCAGUACCCUCAUGAUUAAAUGACAUCACAAUUAUUUAUCAUAAACUCAAAAUGUAGGGAGGUUUGUACCAAAACAAAGAUCCAGGCAAGCCUGAGUGGCUGAACCAUUUAGAAUGAAUGUUUCUAAUUCUCUUACUGUCUUGUUUGGUAAGCAAGCCCG
rnacentral:lncRNA from 1 species